rnacentral:rRNA from 1 species
GACGAACGCUGGUGGCGUGCUUAACACAUGCAAGUCGAACGGGAUUUAGUAAACAGAAGCCUCGGUGGAAGAUUACUACUGAGAGUGGCGAACGGGUGAGUAACGCGUGAGCAACCUGCCUAUGACAGUGGGAUAGCCUCGGGAAACCGGGAUUAAUACCGCAUAACAUCGUAGAAACACAUGUUUUAACGGUCAAAGAUUUAUCGGUCAUAGAUGGGCUCGCGUCUGAUUAGCUAGUUGGUGAGAUAACAGCCCACCAAGGCGACGAUCAGUAGCCGGUCUGAGAGGAUGAACGGCCACAUUGGAACUGAGACACGGUCCAAACUCCUACGGGAGGCAGCAGUGGGGAAUAUUGCACAAUGGGGGAAACCCUGAUGCAGCGACGCCGCGUGAACGAAGAAGGUAUUCGUAUCGUAAAGUUCUGUCCUAUGGGAAGAUAAUGACAGUACCAUAGAAGAAAGCUCCGGCUAAAUACGUG